rnacentral:tRNA from 1 species
UAAAAGUUAGUUAAUUUAUAACAUAUGCUUGUCAUGCAUAAAUUGUCUCAAGAUACUUUUAU